AACGAACGCUGGCGGCAUGCCUAACACAUGCAAGUCGAGCGCGCCCUCCGGGUCGCGGCGGGCGGGUGAGUAUCGCGUGGGAAUAUGCCCUUCUCUACUGGAUAGCCUCGGGAGACUGAGAGUAAUACCGUAUACGCUCUCUGGGGGAAAGAUUUAUCGGGGAAGGAUUGGCCCGCGUUGGAUUAGGUAGUUGGUGGGGUAAUGGCCUACCAAGCCGACGAUCCAUAGCUGGUUUGAGAGGAUGAUCAGCCACACUGGGACUGAGACACGGCCCAGACUCCUACGGGAGGCAGCAGUGGGGAAUAUUAGACAAUGGGCGAAAGCCUGAUCUAGCCAUGCCGCGUGAGUGAUGAAGGCCUUAGGGUUGUAAAGCUCUUUCAGCUGGGAAGAUAAUGACAGUACCAGCAGAAGAAGCCCCGGCUAACUCCGUG
rnacentral:rRNA from 1 species